rnacentral:lncRNA from 1 species
UCAGUUCAUAUGCAUAUCUUCAUUGUAGUAAAUCAUUUUUACGGAAUACUUAACUUUAAAAAAAUCAUUUUUAAAGAAUCAACAAUAUUUGUCCUUUUCCACGUUACUCUGACCAAAUAACUAAUGAGGCUUGUAUCCACUUUCACAUUUUACCCAUCAUUGCUAAAAAAUGUGUAAUAGAUGGUUUUUGGGAUGAUGCUUACAAACUGAUUUCUUCAGGCUUCCUAUUGAUCACUGGAAAACUGAACCAGGGUUACAAAAUAAAAAUCUUUAACUGGGUUUAAAAGGGAAAAUUGUAUUGUUCAGACUGGAUUGCUGGAGCGUGUGAUGCUGAUAAUCAGUUGAUAACAUUCUGAUUAGCUACAGAAAGGUUCUAUUCAUCCAUGAGGACAUAUACCUUGUUAAACUUUAAGUGCACUUUUCAUUCAAACAAAAGGUGACUAAUGAUGCAUGGUUAUUUUUUAAUAGGUUAGUUCAUAUGUGGUGGGAAGCAUACUGGCUGUUG